rnacentral:piRNA from 1 species
UGAGUAGCUCCUCUGGAGUAUUCAGACUGC